UCUCUCUAUGCAUGUUUAAGGGGUGAGGGCAAAAUAGUCUUAAAAUAAUAUGGUUUGUUGAGACUUUAGUAAAGAUUUAUGCAUUUGGGCAUAAAAAUUUGUGCAUAAAAAAUGUUACCUUAUAUUAAAAUGGGCUCAUAGAAAAGAUUGUCAUUGGAAUGGGAAAUGAAGGGUUACAAUUAGUACUAAAUAGGCAUUUUCCCUUAUAUAUAUAAUUAUACUCAGUUCGAAAAAUAUGAAGUCAUUUGAAUAUAUAUAUAUAUAUACAUAUAUAUAUUUAUUUAUAUAUAGUUGUGAAUUAAGAAGUAUAAAAC
rnacentral:lncRNA from 1 species